rnacentral:rRNA from 1 species
GGGGAAUUUUGGACAAUGGGCGCAAGCCUGAUCCAGCCAUGCCGCGUGAGUGAAGAAGGCCUUCGGGUUGUAAAGCUCUUUCGGUUGGGAAGAAAUUGCCUGGGUUAAUACCUCAGGUAGAUGACGGUACCAGCAUAAGAAGCACCGGCUAACUACGUGCCAGCAGCCGCGGUAAUACGUAGGGUGCGAGCGUUAAUCGGAAUUACUGGGCGUAAAGCGUGCGCAGGCGGUUGUGUAAAUCAGAUGUGAAAUCCCCGGGCUCAACCUGGGGACUGCAUUUGAGACUGCACGGCUAGAGUGUGGCAAAGGGGGGUAGAAUUCCACGUGUAGCAGUGAAAUGCGUAGAGAUGUGGAGGAAUACCGAUGGCGAAGGCAGCCCCCUGGGCCAAUACUGACGCUCACGCACGAGAGCGUGGGGAGCAAAC